UCGACUCAGAAGAGAUUACCCGCUGAACUUAAGCAUAUCAGUAAGCGGAGGAAAAGAAACCAAUACGGGAUUCCCUUAGUAGGGGCGACCGAACAGGGAUGAGCCCAGCGCAGAACCUCCCGGGCCACCCGGCCUGCGGCGGAAUGUUGCGUAAAGGGAAAGGUCGUAGUCAAACCCCACAGCCACGCGAACUCUAAGUCAGCCACGAAUAGGCUAUCCCAACUAACGGCGGGAAAGACUCCACGGAGGGUGUAAGACCCGUGUGGGCGCGUGUCAAAGCUGUGCGGGCUCGGCCUCUUUUCCCUGAGAGUCGCGUUGCUUGAGCAUGCAGCGCUAAGCAGGUCGUAAACUCGAUCUAAGGCUAAAUAUUCCACA
rnacentral:rRNA from 1 species